GAGCAGUAACCCGUAGCAACCAAUCCUGUUUACAAGCCAACAUCUUAUUGGUUGCUAUGGGUAACUGCUCA
rnacentral:pre_miRNA from 12 species